AUUGAACGCUGGCGGCAGGCCUAACACAUGCAAGUCGAGCGAGCGGCGGACGGGUGAGUAAUGUAUGGGAAACUGCCUGAUGGAGGGGGAUAACUACUGGAAACGGUAGCUAAUACCGCAUACCAUCGGAUGUACCCAUAUGGGAUUAGCUAGUAGGUGAGGUAACGGCUCACCUAGGCGACGAUCCCUAGCUGGUCUGAGAGGAUGAUCAGCCACACUGGAACUGAGACACGGCCCAGACUCCGACGGGAGACAGCAGUGGGGAAUAUUGCACAAUGGGCGAAAGCCUGAUGCAGCAAUGCCGCGUGUGUGAAGAAGGCCCUCGGGUUGUAAAGCACUUUCAGCGGGGAGGCGUUACCCACAGAAGAAGCACCGGCUAACUCCGUGCCAGCAGCCGCGGUAAUAC
rnacentral:rRNA from 1 species